rnacentral:rRNA from 1 species
AACGAACGUUAGCGGCGCGCUUAACACAUGCAAGUCGCACGAGAAAGGGCUUCGGCCCCGGUAAAGUGGCGCACGGGUGAGUAACACGUGGAUAACCUACCCUUGAGCAGGGGAUAACAUCCCGAAAGGGGUGCUAAUACCGCAUAAGACCACGGCUCCGAAAGGAGCUGAGGUAAAAGCUGGCCUCUAUAUAUAAGCUAGCACUUGAGGACGGGUCCGCGGCGCAUCAGGUAGUUGGCGGGGUAAUGGCCCACCAAGCCUUAGACGCGUAGCUGGUCUGAGAGGAUGAUCAGCCACACUGGAACUGAGACACGGUCCAGACUCCUACGGGAGGCAGCAGUGGGGAAUCUUGCGCAAUGGACGAAAGUCUGACCGAGCGACGCCGCGUGCGGGAUGAAGGCCCUUGGGUUGUAAACCGCUGUCGUAAGGGAGCAAGUCUACGGGGGUACUCCCCUGUAGUUGAGUGAUCUUAGGAGGAAGGACGGGCUAAGUUCGUGCCAGCAGCCGCGGUAAAG